rnacentral:rRNA from 1 species
AUUUACCGCUGGCGGCAGGCCUAACACAUGCAAGUCGAACGAGUGGCAGACGGGUGAGUAAUGUCUGGGAAACUGCCCGAUGGCGGGGGAUAACAACUGGAAACGGUAGCUAAUACCGCAUACCAUCGGAUGUGCCCAGAUGGGAUUAGCUAGUAGGUGGGGUAAUGGCGCACCUAGGCGACGAUCCCUAGCUGGGCUGCGAGGAUGACCAGCAACACUGGAACUGGUACACGGUCCAGACGCCUACGGGAGGCAGCAGUGGGGAAUAUUGCACAAUGGGUGCAAGCCUGAUGCAGCCAUGCCGCUUGUAUGAAGAAGGCCUUCGGGUUGUAAAGUACUUGCAGCGAGGAGGCGUUACUCGCAGAAGAAGCACCGGCUAACUCCGUGCCAGCCGCCGCGGUAAUAC